rnacentral:misc_RNA from 1 species
GAUGAAGAACGUAGCGAAAUGCGAUAAGUAAUGCGAAUUGCAGAAUUCAGUGAGUCAUCGAAUCUUUGAACGCACAUUGCGCCCUGUGGUAUUCCGCAGGGCAUGCCUGUUCGAGCGUCAUUUCAACCCUCAAGCCUCGCUUGGUGUUGGGCCCUGCCCGCCGCGGCCGGCCCUAAAGAUAGUGGCGGCGCCGCCUGGCCCUCAGCGUAGUACAGCUCUCGCUCCAGGGUCCGGCGGCAGCCUGCCAGAACCCCCCAACUCUGUGGUUGACCUCGGAUCAGGUAGGGAUACCCGCUGAACUUAAGCAUAUCAAUAAGCGGAGA